rnacentral:rRNA from 1 species
GACGUCAAGUCAUCAUGGCCCUUACGACCAGGGCUACACACGUGCUACAAUGGCGAAUACAAAGAGAAGCGACCUCGCGAGAGCAAGCGGACCUCAUAAAGUGCGUCGUAGUCCGGAUUGGAGUCUGCAACUCGACUCCAUGAAGUCGGAAUCGCUAGUAAUCGUGGAUCAGAAUGCCACGGUGAAUACGUUCCCGGGCCUUGUACACACCGCCCGUCACACCAUGGGAGUGGGUUGCAAAAGAAGUAGGUAGCUUAACCUUCGGGAGGGCGCUUACCACUUUGUGAUUCAUGACUGGGGUGAAGUCGUAACAAGGUAACCGUAGGGGAACCUGCGGUUGGAUCACCUCCUUACCU